GAUGAAGAACGCAGCGAAAUGCGAUAAGUAAUGUGAAUUGCGGAAUUCAGUGAAUCAUCGAAUCUUUGAACGCACAUUGCGCCCGCCAGUAUUCUGGCGGGCAUGCCUGUUCGAGCGUCAUUUCAACCAUCAAGCCCCCGGCUUGUGUUGGGGACCUGCGGCUGCCGCAGGCCCUGAAAAGCAGUGGCGGGCUCGCUGUCACACCGAGCGUAGUAGCAUACAUCUCGCUCUGGGCGUGCUGCGGGUUCCGGCCGUUAAACCACCUUCAUAACCCAAGGUUGACCUCGGAUCAGGUAGGAAGACCCGCUGAACUUAAGCAUAUCAAUAAGCGGAGGA
rnacentral:misc_RNA from 1 species